rnacentral:rRNA from 1 species
AGAACGAACGCUGGCGGCAUGCCUAAUACAUGCAAGUCGAACGAACACUUCGGUGUUAGUGGCGCACGGGUGCGUAACGCGUGGGAAUCUGCCCUUGGGUUCGGAAUAACAGUUGGAAACGACUGCUAAUACCGGAUGAUAUCGAAAGAUCAAAGAUUUAUCGCCCAGGGAUGAGCCCGCGUAGGAUUAGCUAGUUGGUGAGGUAAAGGCUCACCAAGGCGACGAUCCUUAGCUGGUCUGAGAGGAUGAUCAGCCACACUGGGACUGAGACACGGCCCAGACUCCUACGGGAGGCAGCAGUAGGGAAUAUUGGACAAUGGGCGCAAGCCUGACUCCCAGCAA